UGGGGAAUAUUGGACAAUGGGCGCAAGCCUGAUCCAGCAAUGCCGCGUGUGUGAAGAAGGCCUUCGGGUUGUAAAGCACUUUUAUCAGGAGCGAAACACUGUCGGCUAAUACCCGGCGGAACUGACGGUACCUGAGGAAUAAGCACCGGCUAACUUCGUGCCAGCAGCCGCGGUAAUACGAAGGGUGCAAGCGUUAAUCGGAAUUACUGGGCGUAAAGCGUGCGUAGGCGGUUUCUUAAGUCUGCUGUGAAAUCCCCGGGCUCAACCUGGGAAUGGCAGUGGAUACUGGGAGGCUAGAGUGUGUCAGAGGGUGGUGGAAUUCCCGGUGUAGCGGUGAAAUGCGUAGAGAUCGGGAGGAACAUCAGUGGCGAAGGCGGCCACCUGGGACAACACUGACGCUGAGGCACGAAAGCGUGGGGAGCAAACAGGAUUAGGAUACCCUGGUAGUCCACGCCCUAAACGAUGCGAACUGGAUGUUGGUCUCAACUCGGAGAUCAGUGUCGAAGCUAACGCGUUAAGUUCGCCGCCUGGGGAGUACGGUCGCAAGACUGGAAACUCAAAUGAAUUGACGGGGUCAUAGCUGUUUCCUG
rnacentral:rRNA from 1 species